rnacentral:rRNA from 1 species
GUGGAUUAGAUACCCUGGUAGUCCACGCCGUAAACGAUGGAUGCUAGAUGUUUCCGGUAUUGACCCCGGAGGUGUCGUAGCUAACGCGUUAAGCAUCCCGCCUGGGGAGUACGGCCGCAAGGCUAAAACUCAAAGGAAUUGACGGGGGCCCGCACAAGCGGUGGAGCAUGUGGUUCAAUUCGACGCAACGCGAAGAACCUUACCUGGGUUGGAACCCUCCAGAAGUUCACAGAGAUGUGGAUGUGCCCGCAAGGGAACUGGAUGUCCAGGUGCUGCAUGGUUGUCGACAGCU